rnacentral:rRNA from 1 species
UACGGAGGUGGCAAGCGUUGCUCGGAAUCACUGGGCGUAAAGGCGCGUAGGCGGGGAGGUAAGUCGGGUGUGAAAUCCCUCGGCCCAACUGAGGAACUGCGCCCGAGACUGCUUCUCUUGAGUCCCGGAGAGGAAGAUGGAAUUCCCGGUGUAGCGGUGAAAUGUGUAGAGAUCGGGAGGAACACCGGUGGCGAAGGCGGUCUUCUGGACGGGUGACUGACGCUGAGGCGCGAAAGCGUGGGGAGCAAACAGG